rnacentral:rRNA from 1 species
AUUGAACGCUGGCGGCAGGCCUAACACAUGCAAGUCGAACGGUAGCACAGAGGAGCUUGCUCCUUGGGUGACGAGUGGCGGACGGGUGAGUAAUGUCUGGGAAACUGCCCGAUGGAGGGGGAUAACUACUGGAAACGGUAGCUAAUACCGCAUAACGUCUUCGGACCAAAGUGGGGGACCUUCGGGCCUCACACCAUCGGAUGUGCCCAGAUGGGAUUAGCUAGUAGGUGGGGUAAUGGCUCACCUAGGCGACGAUCCCUAGCUGGUCUGGGAGGAUGACCAGCCACACUGGAACUGAGACACGGUCCAGACUCCUACGGGAGGCAGCAGUGGGGAAUAUUGCACAAUGGGCGCAAGCCUGAUGCAGCCAUGCCGCGUGUAUGAAGAAGGCCUUCGGGUUGUAAAGUACUUUCAGCGGGGAGGAAGGCGUUAAGGUUAAUAACCUUGGCGAUUGACGUUACCCGCAGAAGAAGCACCGGCUAACUCCGUGCCAGCAGCCGCGGUAA